rnacentral:lncRNA from 1 species
UGCCAUAUUAACAAACAAAAAGUUUUAUUUGCUGACAACCCUAGCUAACUCUCAAUGCUUAACAUAUUUAUGAUAUUUCUCUCCUCUGCUACUUCUAGUUACUCCAUUUUUGCUUACUUUGUAGAAGUUGUUUGACAAUAUUGCUGACAUUUAAGUAUUCUUGUAUAUUUCUUUAUAUUGGUGAUUUCCUUAUUUCGUUUUUUCUCCUUUGCUGCCUUUUUAUUCUAAAGGUUUAAGAGUCAAAAAAUGACUAGAUUGCCUUAAUUACAAUGGUUUGAAUGAGUUAGUUUGGUUUUCUUUUUAAAUCUGUGUUCUCUUUAUAUCCUAGCCUAGUUUCUGGGAGGUGCAAGGCACUGAGUGACUCAUUGGGACCUGCUGAGUCAUUAGAGAGAGUGCCUGAGGGACAGAGGCCAGACUGCAACUUAAGCUAUCUGGAAUCUUACCUCUGCUGUCUUACUGGCUGUCUACAUGGGGCUACAUUUUAACUAUGGCUUACAGAAAUCAUUGCCUGUCAACAGCCUCCACCCCCACCUCCCCACCCCCACUCUUGGGAAUGGACUCUGACAAACUCACCAUCAGGAAAGUUGAUGUUUCCCAUCUAGGAUGGAAGAAUGGGAUUCUGAACUUUGUCACUGUUUCUGAAACGUCAUCAGCUCCUGUAAUUGCAUGGUUGGGACAGAUCUAUUUAAAUUGCUUUGAAGUUUUCCCAGGAAAUUCCCACAAAAUUGUGCAACCCAAGGAAUUGAGGUGGAAAAAAUGGCACUGGCAUCAAUUUGCUUCUCACCACGACCUUGUGAAGGAGGCAGGUAGCCACUCAUAUUUAUGAUUUAAAAAAUGAGGGAUCAACAAUUAAAGGGGUAACAGUUCUAGGUGCUUGGACUAUUAGUUUUAUCAAAAACACAGUCGGUAUAGGUUCAUUGACAGCUGGCAUUCAUCAUCUGAAAUUAGAUCCCCCUUUGAAAUUAUUCUUUCUCUCAUUUUCCUUGCUUUUACAUAGAAGUUUUUUCUUUUUUUUUUCUGUAAAUAGUUAGAUAAUGGCAUGGGAUGACACUGCAAAUAGGCAAUAUACCAUACAAUCAAUUCCAUGUAUUAAUUCCAGAACAGUUUCCUCAUUAAUGGAAAUACAGGAUGCAUUCUGGUAUCAUUAUUGUUGACAUUUCUCUUUGCUUUUAUUAUAUUCAAUAAAAUAUUGUAUUCAACAGCUUA